rnacentral:miRNA from 10 species
AUUAGUUUGGUGCAAAAGUAAUUGCGUUUUUUGCCAUAAAAGUAAUAAAAAAGCAAUUACUUUUGUACCAACCUAAUA